rnacentral:lncRNA from 1 species
AGUGUUAUUUAAUUUUGUUCACUGUGUUUACAGUGCAGUUUUAGUCACCUGAAAUUCUAAGAGAAAAGAUCAAUAUGGUUUUGCCAAUCAAAGGUCAUUAAUACUUGGAAUGAAAGAUAACUUAUCCUGGUGAUGAACACAUGCCUUUUGAAAAGCAUCAGUAUCUCCUUAAAAUGUAUAAACUACUGUAAUCAAUGAGGAAGACUUUUUCUUAUCAGAUUUAUUAAACUCAUUUACCAUACAAAUAGCAUUAUAACAUUAAAGAAAAUUUUUUAAAAAUUCUGUACCAUAAAACAAUUACUGGUUCCUUCCUACCUGUUUUUAGGUUUGCAGAUGAAUAAUGUGUGGAUUUUUGGCAGACACACUGCUGAAAAUUUUUCACUUUGUUGGGUGAGCAUCUCACCCUAUCUCCAUUUGUCUCCCUGCUCGUGAGUUCUAGAGAAGACCACCAGUAAGCAAGUGAAAUUCUUUGGCCAAGUCACUGAUAUCAGAAUUCCCCAGAGGCACCAAGAACUUUGAUUUCCAGAAAUUGUUUAGGCACAGCCACUCAUUCAACCUUAUAUUUUGUAUCUCAGAGUUAAGGUUGCAUUUGGGCUACCUAGCCUGUAGACUCUAUUUUAAGACAAGCAGGCAUUUAAUAGUUGUUGGUUGGUUGAUUAGAGCUUCUAGCCAAUUUUUAAAAAUUAUUUGAAUAGAUAAGGCAUUCACUGGUUCAAAAAAAAUUUUUUAAUCAUCACUUCCACCCAUCCAGUUAUCACUACUGAAGUAACCUCUACUUUUUGUUUCUUGCAUAUUCUUUCUUUCUUUUUUUUUUUUUUUUUUUUUUUUGAGACAUAGUCUCGAUCUGUCGCCCAGGCUGGGGUGCAGUGGCGUGAUAUUGGGUCACUGCAACCUCCGUCUCCCGAGUUCAAGCAAUUCUCCUGCCUCAGCCUCCCAUGUAGCUGGGACUACAGGCGCGUGCUACCACGCCCGGCUAAUUUUUAUAUUUUUAGUAGAGACGGGGUUUCACCAUGUUGGCCAGGCUGGUCUUGAACUCCUGACCUCAGGUGAUCGCUUGCCUCGGCCUCCCAAAGUGGAGUUACAGGCAUGAAUCACAGUGCCCAGCCUCUUGUAUAUUUUUCCACAUACACAUUUUUUCAUACAUACAUAUGUGAGAAUAAAUGUUCUUAUUCCCCCUCCCCCAUUUUUAUGUAGGAGAAAAUACCGUACAAACCCUUCUGCACAUUGGACUUGAGAUGGCUUUUCCAUCUCAGUGCAAAAAGGCGACAUUUUUUCUUAACCACUGCACAUUAUUUGGUUAUCACCCAGUUUAGGGACAUUGAGUUUCUUUUGUACUCUAGUGCUUGAAUGAUUAUCCUUGGAUGUACAUCUUUCCUUGUAUAUUUAAAUAUGUCUCAUCUCAGUUUCCACAGGUGGAAUUGCUCUGCAAAAAGGCAUAUAUGUAUUUUUAAUUUGCCCUCUAUGUACUAAAUGUUUUCACCCCAGCAUUGCUGAUGGAUUAGAGUGCUGCCAAGUUUUUGGAUUUUUACCUACCAGCUUUUGAAGGGCAGAUUAUUUCAAGUCUUAAUUAAUAUUUUCAGGAACAGUAACAAUAUCAUUUGGUUAAAUUGAGAGAAAUGGGGUUCAGUUGACAGAAUUUGUUCAGGAUAUAGAAUUUUUCUGCUGCUGCUCCUGCAGCUACACACCUACAACUAGUAAAAACAUGGUUGCUUAGGUUGUCAAAUGACCAGCAAACCUGGAGAGGAACCUGGAAUGACUAUAAACAGCUCCACCCACACUUUUUUUGGGCAAAUGUGCAAGCUUAGUAGAAUCUAAAAGGAUACUUCAGCCUUUGUUUGAGUUGCAGAAAAUUAACAUGGUAAGGAGGAAAAAAUCACUAAUUUUUUUAAAAAGUUCCCUGAUACAGGAACUGAAAAUGAUUUUUGACCAACCUGGGCAAUAGAGCAAAAUCCCAUCUCUACAAAAAAAUACAAAAAUUAGUCGGGCAUGGUGGUGCUGCCUGUAGUGACGGCUACUCAUCCUGAGGUGGGAAGAUUGCUUGAGGCCAGGAGGUUGAGGCUGCAGUGAGCCAGGAUCACACCACUGCACCAGCCUGGGCUACAGAGUAAGACUCAAGAAAAAAAAAAGAUGUUUAAUUAAUCUUGCUUCAGUGCUGAGGUGGUACAGGGAGGGAGAAAGGGAUAUUGGGCUAUGAAUUCCAUCUAAACUGGGGAUUUUUAUCAGGGUGUGAAGAAAGAUUUUCAGGAAUAAUUAUCUGAGUUACUUGGAGUAAAAGUAGCAGGAGGAGGAAAAGAGAUAUGGCCUGUGGGUCUCUGACUUGCCAAACUUCUUAUUCAUUUUACAAAUCAUGAUUUCUAGAGCAUCUUAAUCUUUGAGGCCCAGCUGCUUGGAAGUUGCAUAAUCUCUAUACUUCAGUUCCCCCCUAUAAAAUGGGGAAUAUGAUAGAAUCUACCUUGUAUUUGAGAGGACUAAAUAAAUAUAAAGUGCUUAGAAAAGUAAGGACUCAACUACUAGUAAUAAUUAUUUUGACAUGUUUAAGUAAUCAGUACUAUCUGGAAAACUGUGCUAAUAGUGCCUGAUCUACACAAAUUUAAGUGACUAUACCCCUUUUUUGAGUCAGAGUCUCACUACGUUACCCAGGCUGGAGUACAGUGGUACGAUCUCUGCUCAGUGCAGCCUCCGCCUCCUGGGUUCAAGAGAUUCUCCAGCUACUCAGGAGGCUGAGGCAGGAGAAUUGCUUGAACCCGGGAGGCGGAGUUUGCAGUGAGCCAAGAUAGUGCCAUCGCACUCCAGCCUGGACAACAGAGCGAGACUCCAUCUAAAAAAAAAAAAAAAAAAAAAAAAAACUCAGUUUUUGGUUUUGAAAAUGUCAUGAUACCUGUUGAGAUAACUGCUGAAUAGAUGGGUAAUACACAGUCUAGGGCAUGGUAUCAAAAGAACUUGUCACUGUACAUAUCGGAAAUGGUAAAAAUAUGUUUUGCCGUUUUCACGAAUUCAUUCAUUUUUCAUGUUUCAUGAAUUCAUUCUUUUUAAAAAAAAAAAAUCCUGCUAAUUCUCUGUUUCUCUUGCUUUUCUCCUUUAUGACUAAGUUUUCCUCAUUAUGGGUUACCCCACAUUACUGCUUACGAAGACAUCUCUUUAGUCAGAAAACAGUAGCUUGGUUCAGUUCUAGCUUCAUUGUUAAGCUCAUAGGUAAAUCUGGCAAAUGGCUAGAAACAGUCACAUGUUUGCUUGUCCUUAAUGCUCUCACCUUUUCCCAGCUAUUUGGAUGUAUAUACUUUUGCUUACUUUGUAGUGUACCAACUUAAUAUAUGUUAUAGACUAAAUGUUUAUGUCCUCCCAAACUUCAUAUUUUGGAAGCCAGACAUGGUAACUCACACCUGUAAACCUAACACUUUGGGAGGCCUAGGUGGGAGGAUUGCUUGAGUCCGGGAGUUCAGAACCAGCCUGGACAACAUAGUGAGACCCCGUCUCUACAAAAAAAAAAAAAAUUUUUAAUUAGCCAGGUGUGGUGGCAUACACCUGUAGUCCCAGCUACUCAGGAGGCUUGCCUGAGCCCAGAAGUUUGAGACUGCAGUGAGCCAUGAUAUUGCCAGCCUGGGUGACAGAGCAAGACCUUGUCUC